rnacentral:rRNA from 1 species
CCUACGGGAGGCAGCAGUGGGGAAUCUUGCGCAAUGGGCGAAAGCCUGGCGCAGCAACGCCGCGUGCGGGAAGAAGGCUUUCGGGCUGUAAACCGCUUUCAGCAGGAACGAAAAUGACGGUACCUGCAGAAGAAGGAGCGGCCAACUAUGUGCCAGCAGCCGCGGUGAUACAUAGGCUUCAAGCGUUGUCCGGAUUUAUUGGGCGUAAAGAGUUCGUAGGCGGUCAAGUAAGUCGGGUGUGAAAAUUCUGGGCUCAACCCAGAGACGCCACCCGAUACUGCUUAACUUGAGUUCGAUAGGGGAGUGGGGAAUUCCUAGUGUAGCGGUGAAAUGCGCAGAUAUUAGGAGGAACACCGGUGGCGAAGGCGCCACUCUGGAUCGAUACUGACGCUGAGGAACGAAAGCAUGGGUAGCAAACAGGAUUAGAUACCCUGGUAGUCCAUGCCGUAAACGGUGGGCACUAGGUGUGGGUUUCUAUUAACGAAAUCCGCGCCGUCGCUAACGCAUUAAGUGCCCCGCCUGGGGAGUACGGUCGCAAGACUAAAACUCAAAUGAAAUUGACGG